rnacentral:misc_RNA from 1 species
CAACGAAUGGUAGGACAAAACAAUGGGAGAAAAAACUUUUUCUACAGCAAUCCCUUGUUUUCACCUACCACAUGUUGUGAACCCAAAGCACGCCGACGAACGCUUAGUUAUACGAAAAUGACCUACCAAAAACAAAAAAAGUGAGGUGAAUAGAAACAAAAAGAAAUUGAAAUCUCCCAAAAGGUCGUCCACCUCGGGGGCAACUUUCUGCCGAAAAUAGUAGUUGGGCCUAUGAACAAACUAACGUUACUUUUUGGUAAAUUAUUAAAUUAACCGAAAAAACAGCAUGGUUUCUCCCCAUCAAAAAGCAAACUGU